GGAGUACCCACAUCAGAUAAAUUUAUAGAAGCAUUAGAGCUGUCUAUUUCAUGAAUUGGAAAACAUUUGCAAAUCUCUGCAUAAAUUAUAUGGUCACUUUUCACCCAACCAUUCAAUGAGUAUGUAUGGGACACUUAUUCUGUGCUGGGUCCUCAAGAAGGAAUGCUAAAGACAGAUGGCAAUCUUCAUCCAACAUGGAAGCUUAUAUGACAGAGGAGUAUUUACCAUAUAAAGAAUUAUAUGAACGAAAUCUACAUUCCUCAACGUUUGUAAUUAUUUAAUAUAUUAAGAAAAUAUAAAUAUUCAAUAUUCAUUGUAUAUGGCAUAUAAAAAUGUGUGAUAUUACCGUAAGGUGUGAUUUCUUCCCUAACAAGGUAGGGCUUCUGAGGAUGGUUGUCUUGUUUCUCUCUUUUCUACAAUAAGCUUAGAAAUGAAAACACAACAUGCUGCAUGCGCUCACGACUGCCGUCCCCAAGUUAGAUGUCCUUAAGACUUGCAGUGAUGAUGUUCAUGUAGAGCGCUGUCCCACAGCCUGAAGGCCCUGCACUGGAUUCCUAGCACCACAGAGGAGAAGGGAGCACUGCACUGUAAACCUUAGGUCUGCCCCUCCCAGCAACAGAUGCUGAGCCCCUUGGGCUUCUUCCUACCGUCUCUUCCUACGGUCAGGACCCAGGCUCCCCCCCUCAGCUCUUAGCUUCCUUGACAGUCCAGACAACAUUUACAUUUCAGAUUCUUCAGGUUGGCAUAUAAAGACUAGGUUUUGAGCAUUUUCUGCCUCUUUGGGCUCCUUUUCAAUAGAUCUACUAAUUCAUUCAACAAGAAGCACUUAUCAAAUAUAGAGCAUUAUGCUGGUCACAGAGGGAUUGGAAGGUAGGAGAAGCAGUGAUCUUUUGACUCUCUAACUGAAAGCCCGAAGUGUAUUUGUGAUAUACAUGUACAGAUGCAUACACACACACACUAAACACACACUCACGCAUAUGCAGUAUCAAGUGGGUCAUGUUGAGGCAAGAUUCAGAGUUGAGAAAGCCCAAAAGAGGCAGGCCUUCUGACAGGAAAUGAAGAAAGCCACCAUGGUUCUGUUACCUUCUGAGUCUGAGCUAGUGUUAAUGGAAUGAAUUGCUUUAGCCGAGAUGGACAAAAUUUUAAACAUAGCUGACAGCCAGUAAGACGUGGAUGUAUAGAUAUUGUUUGUAUCCAUAUGGUUUCUGGAGAAGUCCAUGUUUGUGUGUUUUAAGUCCACAUUCAUUUUGGCAGUAGGUAAGACAAGGCGAGCAAAGGCCCUCCUCCAUCUUGCAACUGAGUGUCAGCAGCAAGCCAUCCCAUGGUCUCUAAGUUAGGAAUAUCCCUUUCUGGAUGACCUGGUAAUACAAUUUUUAGAACUCUUCUAAAGUAAAAGCACUAUUAGUGUAAGACAAACAGUAUUAAAGUAUAAGAUAGACAAAAAAAUGUUUAUUUCAGCAUCAUUUGAAAUAGCAAGAACAGAAUAGAAUCAUGGGUCAGUAAACCUUCAAAUGUCUACCUCAGUGCACAUGUUUUUGAAAGUAAAUUAUAUUUGAGAACAGUGCUUCCAAAUGCAACAGAUUAAUGGACACCUCGAGGUGCAUAUAAGUAAAUUAACAUGUGAACAAAUAUAGCCAGAGUAUCAAGGGUAGGAUGGGUACUGAGUGUUUGCCAGCUAAUGUUCCAACUUUUCAACAUUUAGAAAUCCUUACAGUAAGAGAUUCAAUAGGAAUAGGCCAAUGCUAUACAAUGGCCUGGAAAUUUUAUGCUCCAAAAUCUAUCUUACAGUUCUAUUUUUGUGAUUAAGAAAGUCAGCUCUAAUGGGUAAGGAGGUUGAACAUUUUUAAAGAAACGGUUCUUCUAUUUGUGUCAGGAAAAUUCAAAAGCACUCUGAGAUUCCUUCUCACUCCAGCAGAAUGGCUGUGAUCAGGGAAGCAACUGACAAGUGCUGGCUGGAAAGGCUGCAGAGUGUGAGGAUGUAUCCACUGCUGGUAGGGUAUUAACUAGUGCAGCGACUAUGGAAAUCAGACUGGGGGGGGGCAGGUCCUUCAAAGUGGGUAAGAGGUAACUAGUGUGUGACCCAGCUUCCCUACUCCUGAGCUUCUCCCAAAAUACUGUAUCUGCCACUGAGAUACCCACACACCCAUGUGUUCUGCUGUUCUGUUCACAAUAGCAUGGGAAUGGAGCCAGCCUAGCUGUCCCUCAAUGAUGACUGGGUAAGGAGAGCAUGACAUAUACGCACAAGGGAAUGUUACUCAGUUGUCAAGAAAACUGAAGCGAUGAAAUUUACAGAAAUAAGUGUUGUAACUGAAAAGGAUCAUAUUGAGUAAGGUGAGCUAGUCUCAGAAAGAUACAAAUGUCAUUUGUACCAUGGAAGUGUAAAGGAAUUAGGGAUGGAGGGGGAGCCCAAGGGAGAUAGGAGGGCCAAGAAGAGGAGAAGAAAAGGAACAACCAAGACAUAUUCUUGAAAACUGCUAUAAUGAGAUUCAUUUUUCUGUAAGCCCUAAGUCAUUUCCCAACCUGAGCCCCAGCUUUAUUGGUAAUAACCCAGCCUCAGUGCCAUUAUGACUAAUAAAUUCCUCAGUACAUC
rnacentral:lncRNA from 1 species